CUGUCUUCCAUUUUAGAUUUUUCUUUGGAAUGAAAAUAAAUCAUCAAAUACUGGGAAGUUUCACAAACAGAAGGAUCAUGUUCUUGAGAAUAUGUCACGACAUGACAUCUUUGAUUUUAAGCAGGAGCUUCUCAGGUACUAUGAAGUUACUCUGUAGAAGUGCUGCAAUGAAAACAAAUGGCAAUGGUAUUUCAAGGGAUGGAGGCAAGAGUUUGGACUAAAAUGGCAUAAAUUCAUUCCUUUUAUAUUUAAUGUACUAACACCACAAAAAUGGAAGAAGUUAAGUGAAUGCCAAAUACUUUUAUGCAAUUUUAUGGUCACUAACAGAUGUUUCCAUAAUACACUUUUCCAAUUUCCUGUAGAGCACGUUCUAGAGAACACAUCUUACAUGAUUGAUGUUACCACAUAAAUGUGUAAUUAGCAAAGUUUAACAAUGCGUAUA
rnacentral:lncRNA from 1 species